UACACCGUUGGUCCCUCGUGCACAUGCCAGAAAGCAUGUUUAGUCUCUAUUUCCAAAAUUUAACUCGUGCAGUCCCUCGUUGUUAUUUAUCUUGCAUGGUUAGUCCCUAUGCACGUUAACUGUUAACUCCUUCCGUUUAAGCUACCCACGUGCCUUGCACGCAGGGGCAUUUUCGUCUUUUUAGGGUUUGUGUCCAUAUUUAAUGCCGUUACACCUUAAAUUUUAUAAAGAACACUGCAACCCUCUUUUCCUCUGUAUCCUCUCGUUCGUCUCUUCCCCUCGUUCGUCUCUUCCCCUCGUUCGAUCGAUUUCUUCCAAAUACAUAACAAUGAUCGAUAUUAAAUGCAAUUGUGGAGCCACUGCAGUGAUUCGCACAUCUUAUAGCAAAAGAAUCCCUGGGAAACUCUAUUAUGCUUGUACAGUAAAGGGACCAUUAUGCAAGUUCAUAGGAUGGGUGAAUGAUUAUGAUCAGGACUGUGAUUGUAUGGCGUUUAGGAUGAAACUUGAAGAACAAAAUCGCAAAUUGAAGCUUUACCUAGUUAUUAGCUGGGUUUUUUUUUGUUUCAGUCCUUAUAUAUAAAGUGUAGGUUAAGUAAUGAAGUUGUUAGUAUUUUGGUAUGUGUAUAUUGUAAUGGAGACUCUUUGUAAUGUUAUUUGUAUUAACAAAAAAAUUUCAAUUUUAGUUGCAAUAUAUUGUGUAAUCAUAAUGUGGUGUUA